rnacentral:rRNA from 1 species
UACGGAGGGUGCAAGCGUUAUCCGGAUUCACUGGGUUUAAAGGGUGCGUAGGUGGGUCUGUAAGUCCGUGGUGAAAUCUCCGAGCUUAACUUGGAAACUGCCAUGGAUACUAUAGGUCUUGAAUACUGUGGAGGUCAGCGGAAUAUGUCAUGUAGCGGUGAAAUGCUUAGAUAUGACAUAGAACACCAAUUGCGAAGGCAGCUGGCUACACAAAUAUUGACACUGAGGCACGAGAGCGUGGGGAUCAAACAGG